CCCUACGGGGCGCAGCAGUCGCGAAAACUUCACAAUAAGCGAAAGCUUGACGGGGCCAUCCCGAGUGCCAUCUGCUGAGGAUGGCUUUUACCCAGUAUAGAUAGCUGGGGGAAUAAGGAGAGGGCAAGUCUGGUGUCAGCCGCCGCGGUAAUACCAGCUCUCCGAGUUGUGGGGACGUUUAUUGAGCCUGAAGCAUCCGUAGCCGGCUGGGCUAGUCCUCUGUUAAAUCCAGCGAUAAAUCGUUGGCCUGCGGGGGAUACUGCUCGGCUAGGGGGCGGGAGAGGUCGUCGGUAUUCUUGGGGUAGGGGUGAAAUCCUGUAAUCC
rnacentral:rRNA from 1 species